rnacentral:rRNA from 1 species
UACGGAGGAUCCAAGCGUUAUCCGGAUUUAUUGGGUUUAAAGGGUGCGUAGGCGGUUUGAUAAGUUAGAGGUGAAAGCUCGGGGCUCAACUCCGGAACUGCCUCUAAUACUGUUGAACUAGAGAGUAGAUGCGGUAGGCGGAAUGUAUGGUGUAGCGGUGAAAUGCGUAGAGAUCAUACAGAACACCGAUUGCGAAGGCAGCUUACCAAACUAUAUCUGACGUUGAGGCACGAAAGCGUGGGGAGCAAACAGG